GGGUCUUGUACACACCGUAACGCGAAGAACCUUACCAGGUCUUGACAUCCCGCUGAUCACUCUGGAGACAGAGUUUUCCCUUCGGGGACAGCGGUGACAGGUGGUGCAUGGUUGUCGUCAGCUCGUGUCGUGAGAUGUUGGGUUAAGUCCCGCAACGAGCGCAACCCUUGUCCUUAGUUGCCAGCACGUAAUGGUGGGAACUCUAAGGAGACUGCCGGUGACGAACCGGAGGAAGGUGGGGAUGACGUCAAGUCAUCAUGGCCCUUACGGCCAGGGCUACACACGUACUACAAUGGUCGGUACAGAGGGUUGCAAUACCGCGAGGUGGAGCCAAUCCCAGAAAGCCGAUCCCAGUCCGGAUCGAAGUCUGCAACUCGACUUCGUGAAGUCGGAAUCGCUAGUAAUCGCAGAUCAGCUAUGCUGCGGUGAAUACGUUCCCGGGUCUUGUACACACCGGUAAGGUUCUUCGCGUU
rnacentral:rRNA from 1 species